rnacentral:lncRNA from 1 species
CAAACUAUGUUUGCCUAUCCAUUUCCACACGUCAUAAUUCUAUCACGUUCCGAUCCGCAUUCAUGCUUAUUCCGAAUUAAACAAAAGACUACCAACCCAAAUUAACCUACAUUCAACUUUUACCGAUUUUUCCAUUCCCGCCCCGAACUUUAUUUUUAUCAACCAACAAUUAACAUAUGGUCGAACUCAUCCCUCAAACAUGGCCGAAUCAACAAACGUCAUGAUCAACAUCAACAAAAAAAAUCAACAAACAUAAUAACGUCACACAUAAUCACAACAUCAAUAUACCAAAUUAAAAUAAAAUAAGGAGCAAGAGUUGUAGAGAUCAACCUUCCGAUAAUCGAAUUUCGUUGAUAAUAAAAAUUAAGAAAAUCUGAGCUGGAAACCCCAACUAAAAAACCUCAACCACGACGAAAUCCCCUCUCGAUAUCGAUAAGUUUGACACUCGAAACUAUGAAUCAAGGGAAACUGAUAAAUUUGAGGAUUUCGAGACUGACUUGACCAAAAAUCGUUGAAUCAAAGUGGAUUCCGGUGAAAAGUUUCGCCGGAAAGCUUGAAUAGAUCACCGGGAGAGCUGGAAAACCAAAGGACCUGAGCUCUGGUAAGCUGACGGCGAGAAAAUCAGCCGAAGCAACCGGACUCCGUCCAGAUCUCAUUCAGAUAUCGAAGGAAAAUAAGAGGUUUUGGAGAUUUUAAGACUGGUGCGAUCAACUGACGACUGAAAAUGGAUUUCGUCGCUGGUAAAUCUCGAGAAGAUGAUUAUAUCUUCCUUAAACUCUCUUCAAUCUCUCCAUUUUUUUUAUUGUUUCUCCAUUAUUUUUGUGUGUGCACGAUUUUGCAUGUAUCUGUGUGCGUGUCUUGCGAACCAAAAGAAACAAAGAGAAAAAUGGUCUUUUCCUUUUUGUGAGAUUGUUUUUUCUCAAUG